GCCAAGCACUGCCUUCCGCUUCCUUGUUUGGGACGCGACGGCGGCCAUAAGGAAAACAAUAACAGAAUGAUCUCUUUCAGAAGAAUUGCGAGGCGACGGCGAGAGACCUGUUGUGACGUAUCCUGACCUCUCCCCUUCCUCUCGUCGUGACCUUUGACCUCUUGGCCAUGGAGGAUUGUAAUGGGGAUGUGCAAGUCGAGCAGGCGGAAUCGGCCGAGGCGUCGCAGCCCACGCUCCUUCUGAACGGCGAGGCCCUCCAGAGCCACCAGGUGGAGAACUGACCGGGUAUUCCGGCGGAGGAACGCCUGUCGACGCCGAGUUGAGGAGCUGCGGGAGGAAGUGCAGGACCUGGUGGUAGCUGAGGAGGAGUCCGACGAGGAGGAGCUCUGUGGAGAGGAGGAAGAGGACGAGGAAGACGACGACGAGGAGUACGACGAGGACGACGACGACGAGAAUUCCGCUGAAGACGAGGAAGAAGAGGAUGAGGAGGAGGAGCUAGUCAAGAAAGCGCAGGAAGAGGAACGGAAAAAGAGAGCGCAGGAGGAGGAAGAGGCCAAGAGAGCCAAGCAGGAGGACGUGAUCAAGAAAGCCCCGAAGGAGGACCUAGUCAGGG